rnacentral:rRNA from 1 species
GUCUAUGGCCAUGCUAUCCUGAACAAGCCCGAUCCUGUCUGAUCUCAGAAGCUAAGCAGGGUCGGACCUGGUUAGUACUUGGGUGGGAGACCACACAUAGGAAGACCAGGUGCUGUAGGCU